UACGUAGGGUGCGAGCGUUAAUCGGAAUUACUGGGCGUAAAGCGUGCGCAGGCGGUUUUGUAAGCCAGAUGUGAAAGCCCCGGGCUUAACCUGGGAAUGGCAUUUGGGACUGCAAGGCUUGAGUGCGGCAGAGGAGACUGGAAUUCCUGGUGUAGCAGUGAAAUGCGUAGAGAUCGGGAGGAAGGCCGGUGGCGAAGGCGGCGCUCUGGAACAUUUCUGACGCUGAGGCUCGAAAGCGUGGGGAGCAAACAGGG
rnacentral:rRNA from 1 species